AACGAACGCUGGCGGCAUGCCUAACACAUGCAAGUCGAACGAGACCUUCGGGUCUAGUGGCGCACGGGUGCGUAACGCGUGGGAACCUGCCCUUAGGUUCGGAAUAACUCCCCGAAAGGGGUGCUAAUACCGGAUAAUGUCUUCGGACCAAAGAUUUGUCGCCUUUGGAUGGGCCCGCGUUGGAUUAGCUAGUUGGUAUGGUAAUGGCCUACCAAGGCGUGGAUGGGUAGCUGGUCUGUGAGGAUGAUCGGCCACACUGGGACUGAGAUACGGCCAAGACGCCUCCGGGAGGCAGGAGGGGGGAGUAGUGGACGAUGGGCGGAAGCCUGAUUCAGAAACGGCGCGGGCGGGAUGAGGGACUGCGGGUGGUAAACCGCUAUCGCCUGUGACGAAGCGUGAGUGAAGGUAAUGGGUAAAGAAGCACCGGCUAACUACGUG
rnacentral:rRNA from 1 species